UCAUGUAAUCUUCUCUGAUGAUAUCAGGCCUGUUCGCAAGUACCUGUCCUGCUUUGAUGAAAGAAGGUCCCAAAUCACACAAAAGCUUCCUCAGCUGCCGAGCACGGAAAGGAACAACUUCUUCGUCACGACCCACCAAAUAAUCAUACACCAGUGUAGUCCAGUAAAGCCCCAAACUCCAAACAAUCUCUAUUCCUCUACCAACCAAAGAAAAAAUCUGUCCUCUUGACUCUAACACCUUGUUUCUCACAGAUUCUGGGGAAUAUUUCCGGAAUGGAAUGCAAACUCCACGUUCGAUAUCAAGCUGCUCCAAAGCGCUAGUCCUAGAAAUGUCCUUCACUAGCAAAGCAGUUUUCUCCGACGGAGUUUGUACUGUAGAAACACUACUUGCUG
rnacentral:misc_RNA from 1 species